GAGGAACUCCCGCCGUUCAUCUGGGUCAGGGGUCAAGCGUGACAAAAGAAUCUCAAGAACAUCUUACUCUGGAUCCUCAGGCUGUACGGGUCCUCGAUCUCAAAGGCGGGGUCCAGCACUCGGAAUAUCACCUGGGAAGACCUCGCCCUCGGUGGACGGUUCGAUGUCAGAGUAGUGCGAGUCGCAGAUGAUGUCGUCCACCUUCACCAUGGGGCCCGGGGACACGCCGGGGAACGCCGCCCGGCAAUCGUAGGCAAAGUAGCGGUACACUUGCCACGUCUUCCCGAAGUCCAUCGACCGCUCGAUCACCAUGGCGGCCGGCCGGAACGUCUGCAGUCCACAUUCCUCGGCCACAGCUGGCCCUCGCCGCGUGGAUCUCGAGGGACCCUUUCCGACCUUUCUGACUUCCGCGUGUCAAAGUGUGUGGUUUGUGGGGGGGCACCUUGAAGGUCAUGAUGAGGUGUGUGAAGUGGAACUCGGCCUCCAGGUCCAGCUCGACGGUCACGUUCUCCACACCUGCCCGGACCAAGAGACAAAUCUCGUAUUGGUUGGCCGUCGACCGACACACAGCUGGCGCACUUCCUCUCGCGCGUUAACGUCUUGGUAAUAUUUACGACGCAUCUGUGUGUCCAAAUCUAAACAAGCGAAAGUGAUUAAUGACCUCCCCCGAGGGGGGUGGAGAAGGGGGGGGGGGGUAUGAAAAGGCCGCCACAUUUGUUCUCCGUUUGUUUUAUCAAAUCGCAGCGAUUCAUUUUGAUGUGAUUUUGUCUUUUUUUUAUACAUUGCUGUAUUUGCAAGAAAAUAAUGAAAGAUUCGGAAAACUUUAUCCUCAUUAGCAUGAUUUAAAAAAAAUUCCGUAUCCUAAAUAAAAUUGCUAUUUUUAUAUUUCAUCUAUUUAUUUAUAAAUGUACUGUAUAUCUAUUAUUUGUGUUACUAUUAAAAUAAAUGGAAAAUAAUCCAUAUUUAAAUAUUUAUUAAAUAGUAAGAAAGUUGUAUUUUCCUGAGGAGUAUAAUGAAAAUAACAGAAAAGUUUUUUGAGGGGAAUCAAAUGAUCAAUACAUGCAAGUAACGCCAUAAUUACGUAAAGUGAACAAAAAAGUCACAAUAUUGUGCGAAUACAUUUCAGAAACAAAACCUGAUGACUUUGUAGCGCUUUCGAGGGACCCAAAACAUAUCAUCAUCAUACAGUGUCGAUUAUAAAUAAGAAUUAUAAAAUUCCUGAUAAAUUAUUUUAACGAAUUUAUUGCCACGGAUGUAAAAUUAUUACAAAAAAUAGCUGCAGAACUGAAUUUUUGUAGGCCUUCCAAAAUUGGUCAAAAAUAGCUGGAAGCCGCCUCUCCCAAUUUGGCAUUAAAUGUGUUCAAAAAAUGGUGGGAAUACAAAUUUCAAAGGAGGGACGAUGAUACAAUACA